ACGAGAAAUCAUACGCUCGGACGUCGGGUCAGUUUGAACCGUUUGAACUGUAAUAUUCACGGCAUACCGUGUAAUUUUACCAAUAAAUACUACUUUCCGUGAAUAAAUUUACACCUGAGUGACAUUCGGCGACUCAUCUGUGAAACAAGAACAAUUCUUUGACUCGAAUAUCUUUAAGCGGGAAACGUUUUACAGCCGACUUCAGUCGUUUGCGGUGAAUCCGCGGGAAUUCAUGCUGUUGCAUGUUGUGAGAUUGUUUAUCGCAAUAUUUGUCGUGUGUUGUGUAAGUUUACCAGUAAAUUUGUGGUGCAGUGCCGUUCAGUGAUUGCUGAGUGAUCCGCAGAUUUACGCCGACAAAAAGAAUGAGAUUUGGAAAGCAUCUUACAGUUUCAGAAACGUAUGUGGCCUCGAUCGGCAAGAGAAUGAGCUUAAGAACGCAUCGCAGCAUUUCAGUCUAAGGUUUCAGUAUCCACGCGAAUGAUGUAAUAGAAUUGAAAACCCACUUCAGUCAGCUCAGCUGCAGACUGAACACCGCUAUCUGGAUCUUCUAGUUUCUCUUUAAGCCUGGGAAAAGCUGGCCGCAGAGCCUCGGGAAACCGGAGGAAGACUUUGUACAUCAUUAACACAGCUUUCUUUCGGAGAUAUGGC
rnacentral:lncRNA from 1 species